rnacentral:rRNA from 1 species
AGAACGAACGCUGGCGGCAGGCUUAACACAUGCAAGUCGAGCGCCCCGCAAGGGGAGCGGCAGACGGGUGAGUAACGCGUGGGAAUCUACCCAACCCUACGGAAUAACACAGGGAAACUUGUGCUAAUACCGUAUACGCCCUACGGGGGAAAGAUUUAUCGGGGUUGGAUGAGCCCGCGUUGGAUUAGCUAGUUGGUGGGGUAAUGGCCUACCAAGGCGACGAUCCAUAGCUGGUCUGAGAGGAUGAUCAGCCACACUGGGACUGAGACACGGCCCAGACUCCUACGGGAGGCAGCAGUGGGGAAUAUUGGACAAUGGGCGAAAGCCUGAUCCAGCCAUGCCGCGUGAGUGAUGAAGGCCUUAGGGUUGUAAAGUCCUUUUAACGGGGAAGAUAAUGACGGUACCCGUAGAAUAAGCCCCGGCUAACUUCGCGCCAGCAGCCGC